CACCGCCCCCGGUUUUAGUCCCGCCCCACAGAGACGUCGGCGCUCUGGCUAGGCUCCUUGAGCGGACUCUGGCGUAGAAGCUGAGGGAAGCUGCCGAUUUUACUACAGCUCUACACCCAGAGUGUGUCAGAGGGCAGCAACAACCCCGGACGCAGCAGGAGUGAGGCGCCCUCACCAGAAUCCGCCCUUUGCACUUUAAAGUUGAGAAGCGCUGCCCCCAGCUGCUGCAGGCAGAAGAAGACCGGCCCGAGGGAGAAGAGAAAGAGAGCCGGAAUACCAAUGAGGCGACGCGAGCAUGGCACAGCCCCAAACGCCAAACGACAGCUACUCUCACGACAGUGUGGCUUGAUGCGAGCGAAGGCUGUCCAACCUAGGAAGCUAGGAGUGCGGCCCACAAGACCCUCGGUGUAAAAGCACGAUGAGAACACCGCGAUCUUUUUUUUUUUUAACUUAAUUGGUAGAUUCUGGAGUGUAGACUUUGCAGGUGACAAUGUCGUGGAGCAGUAGUUUAAGGCGUGUUACUUUUGUUUAUGCCAUGGAACAUUUGAUUAAUGAUGUAAAGAUGUGCGGCUUUUGUUUCUGUUGCGUCUGUGAAGCUGUGCUUCUUUGCAUGUCUAAAACACCUGAUGGGCUAAUAAAGAGCUGACACUUAUAAGCAAGAAUAAACCCCUCAAAAGAGAAAAGAGUAAAAACCAGCUACACAAUGUCAUGUCACAAUGCCACACAGAAUAAGCAUAUGUGUGCUCUCGGUGUUGGCGCACACGUGUGUCUUCAGUGUUAUUGUAAUGUCCGGUCUCCAGUGUACGGGCAGAUGAUUUGACAUCAUCUGGUGUGACCCGUGCUUAACGUGAAAUGCUGUUUUAUUGCAUGCAAUGGGUGUGUGAACAAGCGCUCCUGGAAAGGGCUGGAGAGAUGGCUCCGUGGUUAAGAGCACUGGUUCGAUUCCCAGCACCCACCUGGCUGCUCACAACUGUCUGUGAUUCCAGUUCUAGAGGAUCUGAGACCCUCACACAGACAUGCAUGCAGGCAAAACGCCAAUGCACAUAAAAUGAUCAAAUAUUUUUUAAAAUUCCUGGAAAGAAGUUGUGACAGCAGAGGUUAGUUAGCUAUCUCUCCAGAGGUUAAUUACCUUAUCUUGAGCUAGCUUUAGCUACUUGUCCACCUCUUUGUCUGAGAUCUUUGGACUCUAUUAACUUAGCCAACCACUGGCUUCCACCUGCCCCAAACCAAAGACUGUCACCAGAUAGCGUCUUGGACCUGAAGAAAAGUUUCCUCCUCUUGUUGUAACCACCUCUUGGUGUAUCCACCAAUGUAUUUUAAACUUUCCUUGAUUCAUGACUUUGCUCUGUAAAACUAUGAAACUGCUUCCCCAUUGGAACAUAGAAUUUGGAAUAAUCUAAAUCUGUGUUCCCAGGCACUCAGCAUUGCUCCAGAAUAAAUUAUCUUGUAUUCCCUUUAAAAAAGAGAGCUGUGUGUGUGUUUAGAAAACGGGUUAAUAUUCCUUUUUUAAAGAUUUAUUUAUUAUGUAUACAGUGUUCUGCCUGCAUGUAUGCUACAUACCAGAAGAGGGCACCAGAUCUCAUUAUAGAUGGUUGUGAGCCACUAUGUGGUUGUCAGGAAUUGAACUCAGUACCUCUGGAAGAGCAGCCAGUGCUCCUAACCUUUGAGCCAUCUCUCCAGUCCUAGUUAAGUAUCCUUAAUUAUUAAGUACCCCAAACCUUAGAGACAAGUCAUGCCUCACCCACAGUGCCUUAAUCGGCUCUCGACUUCUCUCUACACAGACAUCUGAAAUGUCAAAGAACCCAAUCCUUGCUUUCUAUUUCCUUGCCAAUUUUCAUUUUCAUUUAUUUUGUUUAUUAUUGCCUUUGUGAAAAAUGCAAUGUCAUUCAAAAUUAGUUUGUUUAGUGCCCUAAAAGGCACAACUAUAUCAAGAAACUUAUAUGAAGCAGUAAAGCAUGUUAAACCCA